UACGUAGGGGGCAAGCGUUGUCCGGAAUCAUUGGGCGUAAAGAGCGUGUAGGCGGCUCGGUAAGUCCGCUGUGAAAGUCCAGGGCUCAACCCUGGAAUGCCGGUGGAAACUGUCGAGCUAGAGUCCGGAAGAGGCGAGUGGAAUUCCUGGUGUAGCGGUGAAAUGCGCAGAUAUCAGGAGGAACACCAACGGCGAAGGCAGCUCGCUGGGACGGUACUGACGCUGAGACGCGAAAGCGUGGGGAGCAAACAGG
rnacentral:rRNA from 1 species